GUACUGCUGAAGAGUCCCAAACUUGGACAAAACAGCUGUCCAGUAC
rnacentral:hammerhead_ribozyme from 1 species